rnacentral:lncRNA from 1 species
AAGUCUAAACAGCAUAGUGCAGACUCUGGUGAGGGUUAGGGGCCAGUGGAUGGCAAUGGUGGGAGCGUGUGUCAGAGUUAGGGGGGAGGGGGGGUGUCCUGCUGUCCCUUCAAGGGCACAACCCCCCAAUGACCUAAAUUCCUCUCACUAGGCCCCACCUCCUAAACCCCUUCAAGGGCACACCCCCAAUGACCUAACUUCCUCUCACUAGGCCCCACCUACUAAAGGUUCUAUUACCUAUAAACAAUUCCAGGCUAUGGACCAAAUGUUAGAUCACAAGGGACCUUUGGAGGACACUCAAACCACACCCAACUAAAAAAGUGUCAUUCCCUGACAUUGAAGCUGAGGAUUGAAUUAGCAUUAAGCACAAAAGCCACCCAAUGUGACAUGGUGUAUGAUUCUGUUAGGAUUUGUGUGGUUUUAGUGAUUCUGAUUUUUUAGAUAUUUACAUCUUAUAUAAAGUAUUUUCUCAAUAUUUUUAUUUUUUUAUGGAGGACUAUUUCUAAGACUAGUAUUGGGUUUAUAGAAACAUUAAAAGGAAGGUCCAGAGAGCUCCCAUAUGCCUCCUCACCCCUUCAUGCACGGCCUCCCCAGGAUCAACCUCCCCAUCUGGAGAGAUGCAUUUGUCACAGUCAGUGACCCCACAAUGACCCAUCAUCAUCGCCCAGUGUGCCUUGUUGACAUCGGGGCUCACUCUCGGUGUUGUGAAGUAUUUAUUUAUUAUUUAAUGUGUGUGGUCAUCAGCCUUGAGCCAGAAGUAGAUGUUGAAAUCUUUUACAUGCGAGGAAGCCGAAGCAUACCACAGUGAGGUGAUCCUAUGCACAGAUGCCCAGCCAGUAAGCGGAGAGCCAGGAGAGGACAGCCCAAGCACGCCCCGUACCGUCUUAGGGCUGAUGAAGUGGGGGUGUUUCCUUAGAUGACUUUGGGAAGAAGACAAAAAAACCAAUAAGGUGUAAACUCACUAUGGUGGGAAAACCUGCUACAAACUGCAAACAGGUGGAGGAUGAGCCUUCUCAGGUCUUGAGAAGGGAGUGCUAGGAUUUGCAUGUGGUUGAGUGUGUCCCCCAGAGGUUCACACGCUGGGAAUGUGAUAGAACCAGUAAAAGGUAGGGAGGUAGGGCCUGGUGCAUAAUAAUUAGAUACCCAAGAGCACCACCCUCAGUAGGGAUUAAUGCAGUUCUUGAGAGGCCUCCAUUAAGAAUGAGUUGUGCUAAAAAGUGCAAGUCUGAAUCCCUCUGGCUUCCUGUCGUGCCAUGUAAUCUCUUCCUUUUGGAUAUGCUUCCCCCAAGGUGCCAUCCACCAUGUCAUGUUGUAGGUAGAAGGUCUCCACCAGAGUGAAGCAAAUGGCACCAUGCUCAUGAACCUUCAUGACUGUGCGCUAUCUGAGCCUCUUUUCUUUAUGAAGUACCUGGCCUUGGGUAUUUUGUUAUAGCAACAGAAAACUGAUGGAUUCACAAAGAAUAAAGCUAAUGAUUAUUGAAUUUUUCCAGCACUGUCAAAAGAGAAACACAGGUGUUUAAUAAACAAUAAUAUUCUGGUCUUGUACACGAAAGAAGUAUAUUCUUCACUGGAGAAGAGAUAUUGCAUCAGCCUGUAUUGCAACUAUUUAAUGCAACAUAUCAGAUUAAGCAAGCCCCAUAGUCAUUCAAAUCCUUUCUCUUUGGCUUUUAAUAACCAAACAUCUGGUUAUUAACUAGUUAGUACCUAGAAGCUGGAGAAGAGUAGAGUGUUGUUAAUAUUGGACUAUAAAAUGAUAGUUGUGGGAAAAGUUUGAAUUUUGAUCUAAAAUUAGGGUCUUGACUUCCAGCUUGUGACUUGGGCUUCUGGUGAACUUGACUAACAGGAAUCAAUUCCCCAGCACCAAUUCAAACCUGGGUGAGCUAGUCUUGAUUGAGUUUCUGCAGGACUAAGCAGGAGAUACAGCAUCCAUGAUUAUCAUCUCAAGUGCAGCCAUCUGAGUGUCCCAUCCGGAUCUGCUCACUUUCCCCAAAACUUGAUGUGAAAAUAAAUCUGAUUAAAUGGUCC